rnacentral:rRNA from 1 species
CCUACGGGGGGCAGCAGUCGAGAAUCUUUCACAAUGGGGGCAACCCUGAUGGAGCGACGCCGCGUGGAGGAUAAGGUCUUCGGAUUGUAAACUCCUGUCAUGCGUGAACAAGAUGGCCGGGUUAAUAACCUGAGUUAGUUGAUGGUAACGCAAGAGGAAGAGACGGCUAACUCUGUGCCAGCAGCCGCGGUAAUACAGAGGUCUCAAGCGUUGUUCGGAAUCACUGGGCGUAAAGGGUGCGUAGGUGGCGUGGCAAGUCAGAUGUGAAAGCCCGG